AACGAACGCUGGCGGCAUGCCUAACACAUGCAAGUCGAACGAGACCUUCGGGUCUAGUGGCGCACGGGUGCGUAACGCGUGGGAACCUGCCCUUAGGUUCGGAAUAACUCCCCGAAAGGGGUGCUAAUACCGGAUAAUGUCUUCGGACCAAAGAUUUAUCGCCUUUGGAUGAGCCCGCGUUGGAUUAGCUAGUUGGUAGGGUAAAAGCCUACCAAGGCGACGAUCCAUAGCUGGUCUGAGAGGAUGAUCAGCCACACUGGGACUGAGACACGGCCCUGACUCCUACGGGAGGCAGCAGUGGGGAAUAUUGGACAAUGGGCGAAAGCCUGAUCCAGCAAUGCCGCGUGAGUGAUGAAGGCCUUAGGGUUGUAAAGCUCUUUUACCCGGGAUGAUAAUGACAGUACCGGGAGAAUAAGCUCCGGCUAACUCCGUG
rnacentral:rRNA from 1 species